CUAGGAUCUAUAUUACUCCUGAGCAGAGCACUAGCACAUGGCAAAACAGGAAUCACCUUCCUUCCUUCCCUACCUUCUCUAGUGUAUUAUUCAUAACUUAAAGUCCUUUUAUUCAACUUAAGCUCUACAGUUAAGGGAGCAGGAGAAAAAGCAGAGGAAAUGAAGUUAUUCAGAUCGCCAAGCACUAUGGAAGUAUAUAUUUGGUAAUAAUUUUCAAUGAUUUUCCAUCACACAGAGAUGGUGAUCCCCAGCUGUCCUGAGGCUGAAGAAGUGAAGACCCUUAAGCCACAGCCUAAAAGGACUAAAAGCCUAAAAUUCUUUCAGAGAAGAGAAAACUCAAGCCCACAGUGGAAGGCUCUAUGUGGAAGGUGGUGGAUGGGAAACUGGAUUUUGCUCCAAAGUCUCUGCCUCUGAAAGUAGCUGGAUGCGGGACUAGUUUACCAGGAGAAGACGGGCUUUCCUUUUCAGAGUAACAAGAUUUUGCCAAAACUCCAAGGGAUGAGUUAUUUUCAUUUUUCCACUAACCACCAUAGAACACUUUAAAUUAUUUUCACAUGAUGAUGGUAAAGGAAAAGAUAGAACAUUUUUUUCUUUCUUUCUAUGAUUUUUCUCUUCAGGUAUGAAAAAUUGUUUAGAUUAUUCAAUCGUUUAGCAAAUAUAUCUUCAGCACAUGUCAGGUGCUGUGCUUGGGAGAAUAAUAUGGUGGAUUUUCCUAAAGAAAUGGGGGAUCCCUGGGUGGCUCGGCAGUUUGGUGCCAGCCUUCUACUCAGAGUGUGAUCCUGGGGUCCUGGGAUAGAGUCCCGCAUCGGACUCUCCACAGAGACAGAGUCUCCACAGAGACUCUCCCUCUGCCUCUGUCUCGGCCCCUCUCUCUGUGUCUCUCAUGAAUUAAAAAAAAAAAAAAAUCUUGAAAAAAGGGAAAUGUAUAGUUCAGUCCAAUGAUUCCCAAAAAAUGAUAUGUGGAGGGGUGCAUGCUUAUUUGAACAAGUCUUAAGCAGUCUGGGAAGACAAUGUUGCAAGUGUUUAUAAGGCCAACUUCUUGGGGCACCUGGCUGGUUCUGUCGGUAGAACAUGUGACUCGAUUCCGAGGUUGUAAGUUAGAUAGAGCCCCACGUUGGGUAUAGAGACUACUUAAAAAUAAAAUCUUAAAAAAAAACA
rnacentral:lncRNA from 1 species